GACGGAGGAUGCAAGUGUUAUCCGGAAUCACUGGGCGUAAAGCGUCUGUAGGUGGUUUAAUAAGUCAACUGUUAAAUCUUGAGGCUCAACUUCAAAAUCGCAGUCGAAACUAUUAGACUAGAGUAUAGUAGGGGUAAAGGGAAUUUCCAGUGGAGCGGUGAAAUGCGUAGAUAUCGGAAGGAACGCCGGUGGCGAAAGCGACGUGCUGGACCACAACUGACGCUGAGGCGCGAAAGCUAGGGGAGCAAACAGG
rnacentral:rRNA from 1 species